rnacentral:tRNA from 1 species
GGGGAUGUAGCUCAGUUGGGAGAGCGGUGGCUUUGCAAGCCACAGGUCGCCGGUUCGAUCCCGGUCAUCUCCA